AUGGAGCCGACCUUGAAAUACCACCCUUUAAUGUUUGAUGUUCUAACGUUGACCCGUAAUCCGGGUUGCGGACAGUGUCUGGUGGGUAGUUUGACUGGGGCGGUCUCCUCCUAAAGAGUAACGGAGGAGCACGAAGGUUGGCUAAUCCUGGUCGGACAUCAGGAGGUUAGUGCAAUGGCAUAAGCCAGCUUGACUGCGAGCGUGACGGCGCGAGCAGGUGCGAAAGCAGGUCAUAGUGAUCCGGUGGUUCUGAAUGGAAGGGCCAUCGCUCAACGGAUAAAAGGUACUCCGGGGAUAACAGGCUGAUACCGCCCAAGAGUUCAUAUCGACGGCGGUGUUUGGCACCUCGAUGUCGGCUCAUCACAUCCUGGGGCUGAAGUAGGUCCCAAGGGUAUGGCUGUUCGCCAUUUAAAGUGGUACGCGAGCUGGGUUUAGAACGUCGUGAGACAGUUCGGUCCCUAUCUGCCGUGGGCGCUGGAGAACUGAGGGGGGCUGCUCCUAGUACGAGAGGACCGGAGUGGACGCAUCACUGGUGUUCGGGUUGUCAUGCCAAUGGCACUGCCCGGUAGCUAAAUGCGGAAGAGAUAAGUGCUGAAAGCAUCUAAGCACGAAACUUGCCCCGAGAUGAGUUCUCCCUGACCCUUUAAGGGUCCUGAAGGAACGUUGAAGACGACGACGUUGAUAGGCCGGGUGUGUAAGCGCAGCGAUGCGUUGAGCUAACCGGUACUAAUGAACCGUGAGGCUUAACCUUACAACGCCGAAGC
rnacentral:rRNA from 1 species